CCACGGUUUCCUGGACUGCUAACACCAUGUGGGCGUCCUUGAGGAGAGCUGCUAUUCGGAGGUCUCUUCAAUGGCGUGCUGCCCCACGCCGAGCCGUGGUGGUGCUGGCGAAACAGACAGGGGUGCAGUGCAUCCCGCGGCCGCGGCGGUGCGGAAUGUGCGAGUUGGCGCGGGCGGCAGACCACGUGGAUGUCACGGUGCGGCGGGCGAGGUGGCCGAGCGCCAUGGCGUGGUCGUGGUGGAGAGCACGUUGCAGACGCGGUACAACGAUGCAGUCGUUGAGGAGGCGCUCGAGCCUAUAGCGCCCGCACCUGGACGCAGCGUCGUCGGCCCUCCGGCUGCCCGGUAUAUGAACGGUGAGUGGCGCAGGCAAAGGGUGGAUGUCGGCGGGCUGCAAGCGACAUGGCCAAGGCCAACGAAGGGUGUGCGGACAUGGCACCUUCACG
rnacentral:misc_RNA from 1 species